CGGGCCGCUGAUAGCCCAAACCGGAAUCUGGGCAUCGAGUUAAGUGGAAUACUUAGAAAUUCAUGCUGGAAAUCCGCUGACAUUGGCGGAUCGACUCGUCUGUGUGAUGAGUCAGGAUGAUAAGGACGAUUUCGAUUUCAGUAUUACCUGGAAAAACGCAUAAAUAAAGCAAAGCGUGUACACAUAUCGGCAUCGCUACGGUGGCAUUUUGCGGGACACAGUUGAUCAACAAAAUAAGUAUGCCGAAACUGGAAGAGCUGCUCGGUCUCGCCGUCUUGUUACUCUUGGGUCUCUUCUUCAAGGGAGCCCAAGCCGCACCUGAUGGUUAUGGCUGGGGAGGCGGUUGUUAUGGCGGCGGCUGGGGUGAUGGCUGGGGUCGUGAUAAAUGAUUGGAAAUCAGCCGCGGCAUCCGAAGUCCUGCAGAAUUAUUCACCCCAUAUAAAGACAGUUUACCCUGAAAUAACCGUAGUUUUCCCAGCUUAAGAAGGCCGGUAUUCAGACGUCCAUCAACAUGGACUGUGUUGUCCCGUUUAUGCCUGCGUAAUUGCGCUUUUGGUAUUUUCUGAUAGACUGUAUAAGCCUGGCUUAAUCAAGCAUUUUUAGGUGAAAAUAAAUAUUUAUUAAGCUUCGCAGCGGUCAAGCUACUGUGGUACACACAAAACUUGUUCCGGCACCCAUAAGCUUCAAGUGCGACUACGUACUUGCAUGCACGUCUGCUAACUAUUAUCUGAGAUUUUCUCAUAAUUUUCAUCUUACUAGCAGCCUUAUCGAAUUGUACUUAAAUAGUGGACGUCAAACGGCUACAGGAAAAAUGUACCAAACGCUUCCGCGCGACCCAAAAGAUUUUGUUCUUUACGGCUGUUUACACCAUGAUCCGCAUCACGUGGAAAACAACGGUUCUGGUUUCAUAACUCAGGUAGUAAAUUGAGCGGAAAAUACUUAUUACCUGCUGUGUUAACCAAUAGCCGAUGUUUGUAGUAAUAUUACAAAAUCCUAACCAUCUAUAUUAAGGCGUACAAUCGCCAUCGGGUGGAUGUGUCUGAUAGUUUUCCUGUUAAUCACUGAUUAAACAGGCUGUUGAAUGAAGCGAUGUUUUAGUUAAAAAAAGAUAAUUUUAAUGUUGGUCUUCCGUCGUACAUGGCGGCAAUUUUAACGGCUAAAUUUUGAAAUAAAGUUUGCGAGUCUG